rnacentral:pre_miRNA from 1 species
UGGUUUUGGUUGACAACGAGAGAGAGCACGCUGGUCUGCACUUAUGCAGGGGGACAUGAAUGUGUACUUGCGUGCUUUCUAUCGUUGUCAAUCAUUGACAUG